AUUGAACGCUAGCGGGAUGCUUUACACAUGCAAGUCGAACGAGAGGCGGACGGGUGAGCAAUAUAUCGGAACGUGCCCAGUAGCUGGGGAUCACUACUCGAAAGAGUGGCUACUACCGCCAACUUUUGGCGCGGCCGUAAUCGGAUGAGCUAGUUGGUGGGGUAAAGGCUCACAAAGGUCACGAUCCGUACCUGGUUUGAGAGGACGACCAGCCACACUGGGACUGAGACACGGCCCAGACUCCUACGGGAGGCAGCAGUGGGGAAUUUUGGACAAUGGGGGAAACCCUGAUCCAGCCAUGCCGCGUGUAUGAGAAGGCCUUCGGGUUGUAAAGUACUUUUGGCAGAGAAGCGGUAUCUGCAGAAUAAGCACCGGCUAACUACGUGCCAGCAGCCGCGGUAAUAC
rnacentral:rRNA from 1 species